CCAACUGGGGACCUGGCCCACAACUCAGGUAUGUGGCCUGACUGGGAAUUGAACCUGCAACCUUUUGGUUCACAGGCCAGCACUCAGUCCACUGAGCCACACCAGCCAGGGCUUCUGCCAGCUUUUCAUAGAGGAGAAAUUGAGGGAUGUCUGAGUGGAAUUCCAGUUUCUAGACCCCUGGUUCCUUCCCCCACUCCAGACCUGGCACCUAGAAGUUACCCUUUCUUGUCAUCUUUGGGGACAUUUCCCUUGCUGCCGUGAUCUAACUUCCCUCAGUUACAGUCUCCCUGUCCUGAGGAGCCAAGGGAAUCGGGGAAAUAGGAGGAGAUAGCGGACAGAGUAGAGAUAUAGAAAAGGUUGUGACCGGGAGCUGAUGGGGUGCUUUCUGACUUCCCUUUCCUAGACUUGAGCUGAUAAGGGGAAAAGGGUAGUGUCACAACAGUCUCCCCCGUCAGAGCCCUCAGGUUCAGUCUGCUCUGUGUGCUCUCUGCCGUAGCCUCAGCCUUGUCCCAUCUGCCCCAGCUCCCUGUCCUCUGGCUGGGGUGGGCAGGACCUGCUGGACAGUGCUGGAUCUGUCAAAGAGGACAGCAGCCAGCUCCCCCCACCUCCCCCACCCGGAGCUCUCUUGGCCUGCUGCACUUCCACCCUGUGGGGUUUCCUUCUCUCCAUCCCCUAUCUCUCUAUAUGCUACCUCUGGACCUUCAGGUUAGGAGUUAGAAUCAAGAGUGUUAGAGAAGACACAGUUAAGUUGCCUUCUUUUCCUUAUUGACAUUAGCAGGUAAAGUGAUUUAUUCAAGUUCAUGAUUCUUACAGAGCCAAGCUGGAACCUGGGUCUCCUUCUGUGACUCAUGGAGUCAGGAUGACAGGGCUGGGGUUGCAACCACAUCACCCUCACUUGCAGUCCAGUGCCCUUUUGCUCAUCACUCUGUACUGCUAUGGGGUGUGUGUGUGUGUAGAGAGAGAGAGAGAGAGAGAGGUGUAUUGAGGGAGAGGGGGACUCUGCUAGCAGAAGCCCCUUUCCACCUUUUGCUCCCCAGACCCUGAUGGCCAACUCUUUCACCCCCUAGUUCACCCUUUUCCUAUUUCCCCAUCUGUCUCACUCUCUCCCUCACCAUUCUUUCUUUUCCCCCUGGAAGAAAUUUCCCCAUAAAACUAGUUAGCUUUUCAUAUUCCUAGAUCUGCCUACCUCUCACCAUCUUUAAAAAACAAGACAGUUUCAUCAAACAAUUUAAUACCACAUUUCACAAAACUUUAAACUCUUACUGAUUAAUUAAGCAUUUAACAUGAAUGAUGAGAUUCUCUUUGUGGACCAGGCUAUGUGUAAUGUCUUAAACAGUUGGUACAGACUGUUAAAAAUUUCUUGUAACAUUAAAAA